UAGCUCUCUCCAUCGCCCGCUGUGCGACU
rnacentral:sRNA from 1 species